GAUGAACGCUGGCGGCGUGCCUAAUACAUGCAAGUCGAGCGAACAGACGAGGAGCUUGCUCCUCUGACGUUAGCGGCGGACGGGUGAGUAACACGUGGAUAACCUACCUAUAAGACUGGGAUAACUUCGGGAAACCGGAGCUAAUACCGGAUAACAUGUUGAACCGCAUGGUUCAACAGUGAAAGACGGUCUUGCUGUCACUUAUAGAUGGAUCCGCGCCGCAUUAGCUAGUUGGUAAGGUAACGGCUUACCAAGGCAACGAUGCGUAGCCGACCUGAGAGGGUGAUCGGCCACACUGGAACUGAGACACGGUCCAGACUCCUACGGGAGGCAGCAGUAGGGAAUCUUCCGCAAUGGGCGAAAGCCUGACGGAGCAACGCCGCGUGAGUGAAGAAGGUCUUCGGAUCGUAAAACUCUGUUAUUAGGGAAGAACAAAUGUGUAAGUAACUAUGCACGUCUUGACGGUACCUAAUCAGAGAGCCACGGCUAACUACGUG
rnacentral:rRNA from 1 species